UCUCUCUCUCUCUCUCUCCUCGACUCUCCCUUGGAAGUCCUCUUUCUUCGUCUUCAUCCUUCGACGAACCACUCGUCGCUUUUGUUUCUCUGGCUUCCGGCGACGACGGUCAAGACGACUACGGCUAUGGACGAAACCAUUAGUUCUGGUGAUGAUGCUCGAGCUCUAACUGACCGGAUAGCUUCUCGGUCUCACCAACCUCACCUACUGCUAGCCGCUCGAUCUCCAGACAUUCGUCAUUCCCGACGCCAAGCUUAAUCUAGCUCUAAUCGGCGACUCGUUCGUAAUUUCAAUCUCAUAUCCUUUUAGUUUCUACACUUUUUCUCUUUCAAUUUAUUUAUUUUCUUCAUAGCGAUAGGUCAUUACUGGAUUCCAGAGUUUUUCAUUUUGCUUGUACUCGGUUAUGGAAAUUGUUACGAUUUUGGUUAAGCAUUUGCAAAAUUGAACACAUUGAUUUACUGGAACUGCUUGAUUUUGAUGUUUUGGUGGCCUUAUCUCAACGAAGCUCCGCACAACGAUCCGAUUGGCUUUUCUCCGCCGAAUAGAGGUAGUCCCGGUUACACUCGCUGGUCUAAUCCUUCUAGAGCUUUGUGGCUGCUCUGAAGAUGGAAGGAGGCUAGCACUCCAAGAUGCAUUGCUCUUCCGUUCACCAAAGAAUUCUUCCCUUUUGCAUUUGUAGUAGUAGAUUUCAAAAAUCAUGUGAAUUUGGGUAGUGAAGCUUCCAUUGACCAAGAUAUCAUCUGGCCAACCAAAUAAUGUUGAACUGAAGUCUGGUGCUGAAGGUGGCAAAAUAUUGCCUCUAUGGUUAGUGUAGUGUGGUAGAGCUUGACAAUAAGAAACAUCAAUGGUGGUCAUCUAAAAACUGACAGUAGCAUUACAACAUUGACAAUAGCUUUAUACAAUCAUUGUAUUAGAUUUUCACAACUAUGGUAGUGGCUUUUUACAACUAUGGACGUAGCUUUUCAUAGUUAUAUCAUUGUUGAAUCCUGCAUACUUUUUGUAUCAUUGAAUAUGUUUUCUUGUCUCAA